rnacentral:rRNA from 1 species
GAUCAAAUCAAGCGCGAAAAGGGCGUUUGGUGAAUGCCUUGGCAGUAAGAGGCGAUGAAAGACGUGAUACUCUGCGAUAAGCCAUGGGGAGCUGAGAAUAAGCUUUGAUCCAUGGAUUUCUGAAUGGGGCAACCCACCUGAUACUUUGUUAUUACUGCUCUUCGGAGCAGCUAAUAAUGAGGUAAACCAGGUAUUUAUAGACUGAAUACAUAGGUUUAUAAAAGCAAACCCGGGGAACUGAAACAUCUAAGUACCCGGAGGAAAGGAAAUCAAUUGAUACUCCCCUAGUAGCGGCGAGCGAACGGGGACCAGCCGAGCCAUGAGUGUGGUUAGAAUGCGUUGGAAUGCGCAACCAAAGUGGGUGAUAGUCCCGUAUAAGAAGCAUGAUUGGACGUAUUAAGUAGGGCGGAACACGUGAAAUUCUGUCUGAAGAUCGGAGGACCACCUUCGAAGGCUAAGUACUCCUUACUGACCGAUAGUGAACCAGUACCGUGAGGGAAAGGUGAAAAGCACCCCGACGAGGGGAGUGAAACAGUACCUGAAACCGAACGCCUACAAUCAGUUGGAGGGACUUUACGUCCUGACAGCGUACCUUUUGUAUAAUGGGUCAUCGACUUGGUCUCACAAGCAAGCUUAAGCCGUUAGGUGUAGGCGUAGCGAAAGCGAGUCUUAAUAGGGCGUUGAGUUUGUGGGAUCAGACCCGAAACCGAGUGAUCUAGGCAUGGCCAGGUUGAAGAUAAGGUAACACUUAUUGGAGGACCGAACCCACAUCCGUUGAAAAGGAUCGGGAUGAGCUGUGCCUAGGGGUGAAAGGCCAAUCAAACUCGGAGAUAGCUGGUUCUCUGCGAAAUCUAUUUAGGUAGAGCGUCAUCCGAAUACCCUCGGGGGUAGAGCACUGGAUGGGUAAUGGGGCCCCACAGGCUUACUGAUCCUAACCAAACUCCGAAUACCGAGGAGUACUAGAUGGCAGACACACAGCGGAUGCUAACGUCCGUUGUGAAGAGGGAAACAACCCUGACCUACAGCUAAGGCCCCUAAUUCAUGGCUAAGUGGGAAAGCAGGUGAGACGACCAAAACAACCAGGAGGUUGGCUUAGAAGCAGCCAUCCUUUAAAGAUAGCGUAACAGCUCACUGGUCUAAAUAAGUUGUCUUGCGGCGAAGAUGUAACGGGGCUCAAGCCAUGAGCCGAAGCUUAGGAUGCAUUAAUUGCAUGGUAGCAGAGCGUAGUGUGACAUAGUUCCAUGUCUCCUUAGCCCUUCGGGGUAUUGGAGACGCGGAGCUUUCUGUGAAGCCGGCGCGUGAGCGAUCCGGUGGAGAGAUCACUAGUGAGAAUGAUGACAUGAGUAGCGACAAAGAGUGUGAGAGACACUCUCGCCGAAAAUCCAAGGGUUCCUGCUUAAAGCUAAUCUGAGCAGGGUAAGCCGACCCCUAAGGCGAGGCCGAAAGGCGUAGUCGAUGGGAACCAGGUUAAUAUUCCUGGGCCAGAUGGAAGUGACGGAUCUCGAGGGUAGUUCAUCCUUAUCGGAUUGAAUGGGCUGCUUAGAGGUCCCUGGAAAUAGCUCCAUCGCUAGAUCGUACCCUAAACCGACACAGGUGGAUAGGUAGAGAAUACCAAGGCGCUUGAGAGAACUAUGUUGAAGGAACUCGGCAAAAUACCUCCGUAAGUUCGCGAGAAGGAGGCCCGGUUUCUAGGCAACUAGAGGCUGGGGGCACAAACCAGGGGGUGGCGACUGUUUAUUAAAAACACAGGGCUCUGCGAAGUCGUAAGACGACGUAUAGGGUCUGACGCCUGCCCGGUGCCUGAAGGUUAAAAGGAGGAGUGAGAGCUCUGAAUUGAAGCCCAGGUAAACGGCGGCCGUAACUAUAACGGUCCUAAGGUAGCGAAAUUCCUUGUCGGGUAAGUUCCGACCUGCACGAAUGGCGUAACGACUUCCCCGCUGUCUCCAACAUAGACUCAGCGAAAUUGAAUUACCGGUCAAGAUGCCGGUUACCCGCGGUUAGACGGAAAGACCCCGUGCACCUUUACUACAACUUCACACUGGCAUUAGGCCGAACAUGUGCAGGAUAGGUGGUGGGCUUUGAAGCGUGAACGCCAGUUUACGUGGAGCCUCCCUUGAGAUACCACCCUUGUUCUGCUUGAUGUCUAACCGCGGUCCGUUAUCCGGAUCCGGGACCCUGUGUGGUGGGUAGUUUGACUGGGGCGGUCGCCUCCUAAAUCGUAACGGAGGCGCGCGAAGGUUGGCUCAGAGCGGUCGGAAAUCGCUCGUUGAGUGCAAUGGCAGAAGCCAGCCUGACUGCGAGACUGACAAGUCGAGCAGAGUCGAAAGACGGCCAUAGUGAUCCGGUGGUCCCAAGUGGGAGGGCCAUCGCUCAACGGAUAAAAGGUACGCCGGGGAUAACAGGCUGAUACUGCCCAAGAGUCCAUAUCGACGGCAGUGUUUGGCACCUCGAUGUCGGCUCAUCUCAUCCUGGGGCUGGAGCAGGUCCCAAGGGUACGGCUGUUCGCCGUUUAAAGAGGUACGUGAGCUGGGUUUAGAACGUCGUGAGACAGUUCGGUCCCUAUCUUCCGUGGGUGUAGGAUACUUGAGAGGAGUUGCCCCUAGUACGAGAGGACCGGGGUGAACGAUCCACUGGUGGACCAGUUGUUAUGCCAAUAGCAGUGCUGGGUAGCUAUGAUCGGACAGGAUAACCGCUGAAGGCAUCUAAGCGGGAAGCCCCCUCAAAACAAGGUAUCCCUGAGAGCCGAGAUAGACCAUCUCGUCGAUAGGCCAGAGAUGUAAGCGUAGUAAUACGUUCAGUUGACUGGUACUAAUUGCUCGAUAGGCUUGAUUUGAUCCAG